CCUACGGGUGGCAGCAGUGAGGAAUAUUGGUCAAUGGACGAGAGUCUGAACCAGCCAAGUAGCGUGAGGGAUGACUGCCCUAUGGGUUGUAAACUUCUUUUAUAAAGGAAUAAAACGAGGCACGUGUGCCUUUUUGCAUGUACUUUAUGAAUAAGGAUCGGCUAACUCCGUGCCAGCAGCCGCGGUAAUACGGAGGAUCCGAGCGUUAACCGGAUUUAUUGGGUUUAAAGGGAGCGUAGAUGGGUUGUUAAGUCAGUUGUGAAAGUUUGCGGCUCAACCGUAAAAUUGCAAUUGAUACUGGCAGUCUUGAGUACAGUUGAGGUAGGCGGAAUGCGUGGUGUAGCGGUGAAAUGCGUAGAUAUCACGAAGAACCCCGAUUGCGAAGGCAGCUUACUAGACUGUGACUGACAUUGAUGCUCGAAAGUGUGGGGAUCAAACAGGAUUAGAUACCCCAGUAGUC
rnacentral:rRNA from 1 species